UUUCAGGAUAAUUUUGAACUAUUUUUACCGAAGUUUUACCGAGUUUGUCCAAGUGCUUGUCUUCCCCUUGCUUCAACUUGCACUGAGAGAAGCAGCACUUGGAUGUGAACUAAAGCAACUUAUGAACUAAGCAGAUGACACCUGCGGGAUUAGAUGGGAUGGGUGGUGCCUGUGAGCACCAAGGAAGGAAUCGGGGAGUCACGGCGGGUGGUGCCUGCGAGCACCUGGGAGGAGCAGGGAGGGUCAUGGGUAUAUGGGGCGGUCGCGUGUACGGGUAUAAGUAGCCUUGUUGCACAGCAUUAAAUUGGCAUUUCGGCGCUACAUACCGUGUAUGUGUCCCGUAUGCCCCUGCACGUGGAGGUGCGGACGGAAGGGAAGCCUUAGUACGUUGUCGUAGACAACAAUUGGUGACCCCGAUGUGAUAAGACGGAGCACGGAGAGGUGCUCGGAGCGCAGGGGCGCUCGAGAAGGAGCGCAGAGGGGUGCUCGGAGCGCAGGGGCGCUCGAGGGGGAGCACGGAGAGGUGCUCGGAGCGCAAGGGCGCUCGAGGGGGAGCACGGAGAGGUGCUCGGAGCUCAGGGGCGCUCAACAGCGUACUCCAGUAUGUCUUCGUCGCUGGAGAGGAUGCAGGUUUGGCUGUGCAAAUGGCCAGUUGAACCCACUGUGCGACUAGUGGGAGGUGUGGGUGGUACUACUGCCGGACGAACAGAUCUUCUGAAAGGGGAUACGGAUUUGGCGGCUCCUCGAGAAUUAUCAGCAAGAUAUCAGCGUCUGUUGUCUCAUCUUUUUGAACAUCUCCAGCAGGGCACCUUGCAGCGUUGGGAUGCUACUCGAGGCAUCCAAGCACAUUUGCUGGUACAACCCGCGGGGGCCACAAUCAUACUUUACCAGGGGGAGGUUGGGUGGGCCUUGUUAUUCGGUUACGUUGCAACUCCCCGUGUGGCAUUACCUUGGUGGGGUGUUCUGUUAGGUCAGGCCAUCCAAUGGGCACGUGAUAAGGUGCUUGCCAUUGCAGGGACGAAGCCCCAAGCAAUCACGGUUGAGCUUGGCCCAACAUCGCUUACACAGUUGCAGAAGAACUCUUUGAUUGUACAAACAGCCCUGGCAGAUUAUCCAGGUGUAAUUACUAAUUCCCCACGCACGCAUUACACAGAUUUGUUACAGUUAGUUACUAUCUUACCCGUGCUUCCUUUAGCUGAGAGUCCACUACAAGGUAUUACAGCCUUUACCGAUGCCGCUGGAAAAACGCAGCGGUAUGCAGUGGCCUGGUUUAACCAAGGCGUGUGGUGUUCUGAAGUUAGAGAAGAUAAGACUCACUCGAUACAACAAUUGGAGCUCUUGCCUGCCCGAUGGGUUAAGCCGGCGCCUGUAGCAUCCCUAGCACCAGCAAGAGCACAGGACCCCCACCCUGUACUGCCCAAAGAGAAUACAGCUCUCCCCAGCACCAGCAGCGCUCAAGGCAUCC
rnacentral:lncRNA from 1 species